CCUACGGGAGGCAGCAGUGGGGAAUUUUGGACAAUGGGCGAAAGCCUGAUCCAGCCAUGCCGCGUGCAGGAUGAAGGCCUUCGGGUUGUAAACUGCUUUUGUACGGAACGAAAAGCCUCUUUCUAAUAAAGAGGGGUCAUGACGGUACCGUAAGAAUAAGCACCGGCUAACUACGUGCCAGCAGCCGCGGUAAUACGUAGGGUGCGAGCGUUAAUCGGAAUUACUGGGCGUAAAGCGUGCGCAGGCGGUUAUAUAAGACAGUUGUGAAAUCCCCGGGCUCAACCUGGGAACUGCAUCUGUGACUGUAUAGCUAGAGUACGGUAGAGGGGGAUGGAAUUCCGCGUGUAGCAGUGAAAUGCGUAGAUAUGCGGAGGAACACCGAUGGCGAAGGCAAUCCCCUGGACCUGUACUGACGCUCAUGCACGAAAGCGUGGGGAGCAAACAGGAUUAGAUACCCUGGUAGUCCACGCCCUAAACGAUGUCAACUGGUUGUUGGGAAUUCACUUUCUCAGUAACGAAGCUAACGCGUGAAGUUGACCGCCUGGGGAAGUACGGCCGCAAGGUUGAAACUCAAANAGAGUAGAGCGNGAGAGNGCGACGACGACGACGAGGAGGAGG
rnacentral:rRNA from 1 species